AAUUUGUGUUCUGAAGAUUAACGAAGGUCUUACGGGUGUGGAACGGCAUGAGGAUUCAGACAGAGAGAGAGGGAGAAAAAAGGAGCAUCAUAUCAUCAUGCGGCUAUCCAUUAGGCCACAACCCUAACUAACACAUCCGCCACUUUAAUAGAGAAUUUAAACCAAGUUGUUUAUGUGUCACGGUUUUGCCUAAAUUGUCUGUACAUUAUAUGAAAAAUGUGUCACCCAAUAUUAACCAAAUAAUCAAAGGAAUAGCUAAAAGCAAUGGGGGCUUUUGGAUUAAUAGCAUUAUUUACAAAGCUAUAGCUGGGUAUUGCAAAUGUGUCUAAGUUAGCAGCAACACAUUUGUUCCUAGCGCAGUAAUUGCCUUUUGAAGUGCGGUGCUUUCACCCAUGUUGCCUGAAACAGAAAACUGAUCAGAGAACAAAUAAUAGAGCUAAAUGAAAUGUGUCUUGUUGCCGUAAGUCUACCCUGAAUGUCUGAGCCUUUCCAGUCAGCUUUGAUGAGCUCUAAUCUCGUCCUUUCUCUAAUCCGUAUUGGUAUGCCUUGUGUAAUGUCUGUGCAUUUCAGUGUCAAAAGAAGAAAACCGGUGUGUGUUUCCUUGCAGUUUUACACACGAGGAAAAAGACGCUUUCAUACAUUGUUGCUGUUUUCUGUUCUGUAGUUUCAUAGUGUGUAAAGCAGGACCACCAGUGUCCAAAUUUACAUUUGUCAAGCAUUACAUUUGUGAAAAGAUUCUACAUUUUUUAAAUUACUUAAUGGUUUAAAUCCUAAUGUAAAAAUAAAAGCUCAAACCCUCACUGUCA